rnacentral:rRNA from 1 species
GACGGACGCUGGCGGCGUGCUUAACACAUGCAAGUCGAACGGGGCGAAUGAAAGCUUGCUUUUAUGAGCUUAGUAGCAAACGGGUGAGUAACACGUAGACAACCUGCCGAUCAGAUGGGGACAACAUUCCGAAAGGAAUGCUAAUACCGAAUGGCGUGUAGGGGAGGCAUCUUCCCUACAUGAAAGAUGGCCUCUAUAUAUAAGCUAUCACUGAUCGAUGGGUCUGCGUCUGAUUAGCUAGUAGGUAAGGUAACGGCUUACCUAGGCGACGAUCAGUAGCCGGUCUGAGAGGAUGAACGGCCACAUUGGGACUGAGACACGGCCCAGACUCCUACGGGAGGCAGCAGUGGGGAAUCUUCCGCAAUGGGCGCAAGCCUGACGGAGCAACGCCGCGUGAGUGAAGAAGGUCUUCGGAUCGUAAAGCUCUGUUGAAGGGGACGAACGAUCGAGGGGCGAACAGGCUCUCGGUAUGACGGUACCUUUGAGG